rnacentral:rRNA from 1 species
ACAGUAUAUAAGAGUUUGAUCAUGGCUCAGGAUGAACGCUAGCGGCAGGCCUAAUACAUGCAAGUCGAGGGGCAGCGGGGUAGCAAUACUGCCGGCGACCGGCGCACGGGUGCGUAACACGUAUGCAACCUACCUUAAACAGGGGGCAGUAGCCCGGGGAAACUCGGAUUAAUACCCCAUAACACGGUGCUGUCACAUGACAAUGUCGUUAAAGAUUUAUCGGUUUAAGCUGGGCAUGCGUUCGAUUAGCUAGUUGGUAAGGUAAUGGCUUACCAAGGCUACGAUCGAUAGGGGUGCUAAGAGGAUGAUCCCCCCACACUGGUACUGAGAUACGGACCAGACUCCUACGGGAGGCAGCAGUAGGGAAUAUUGGUCAAUGGAGGCAACUCUGAACCAGCCAUGCCGCGUGUAGGAAGAAGGCGUUCUGCGUUGUAAACUACUUUUGAUUGGGAACAAAUGACUCUUGCGAGAGUAGCUGAGUGUACCAAUAGAAUAAGCCACGGCUAACUACGUGCCAGCCGCCGCGGUAAU